rnacentral:rRNA from 1 species
GACGAACGCUGGCGGCGUGCCUAAUACAUGCAAGUCGAACGCACAGUUUAUACCGUAGCUUGCUACACCAUAGACUGUGAGUUGCGAACGGGUGAGUAACGCGUAGGUAACCUGCCUGGUAUCGGGUGAUAACUAUUGGACACGAUAGCUAAUACCGCAUAAUAUUGAUUAUUGCAUGAUAAUUGAUUGAAAGAUGCUAUUGCAUCACUACCAGAUGGACCUGCGUUGUAUUAGCUAGUAGGUGAGGUAACGGCUCACCUAGGCGAAGAUACAUAGCCGACCUGAGAGGGUGAUCGGCCAAACUGGGACUGGGACCAGGCCCAGACUCCUACGGGGGGGAGCAGUAGGGAAUCUUCGGCAAUGGAGGAAAGUCUGACCGGGCAACGCCGCGUGAGUGAAGAAGGUUUUCGGAUCGUAAAGCUCUGUUGUAAGGGAAGAACGGGUGUGGGAGUGGAAAGUUCACACUGUGACGGUAUCUUACCAGAAAGGGACGGCUAACUACGUG